GUCCACGCCGUAAACGAUGAGAGCUAGUUGUCGGUAUGCAUGCAUAUCGGUGACACAGCUAACGCAUUAAGCUCUCCGCCUGGGGAGUACGGCCGCAAGGUUAAAACUCAAAGAAAUUGACGGGGGCCCGCACAAGCGGUGGAGCAUGUGGUUUAAUUCGACGCAACGCGCAGAACCUUACCUACCCUUGACAUGCCCUGUUUGGUUUCCAGAGAUGGAUUCCUUCAUUUAGUUGGCAGGUGCACAGGUGCUGCAUGGCU
rnacentral:rRNA from 1 species